CCUGUAGGAGUGAGCCUGCUCGCGAUAGCGGUGUAUCAGGCAAAAAAAUAUUGACUGACAAGCCGCUAUCGCGAGCAGGCUCGCUCCCACAGGG
rnacentral:miRNA from 1 species